ACUCAAAGGCUCUGCAUCCGGGUGGCUUGGCAGGGGUGUCCUCUGGAGAUCCAGCGGUCGGCGGGGUCGGCUGGGAGAGGCUGCCGCCACCAUCAGGUCACCGAGAUAAGGUCUUGCUCUGUUGUCCAGGUUGCAGUGCAGUAGUGCAAUUACAGCUCACUGUAGUCUCAAUCCCCUGGGCUCAAGUGAUCGUCCCUCCUCAGUCUACCAAGUAGCUGGGACUACAGGCAUGCACCACCACACCCAACUAAUUUUUGGACUUGUUGUAGAGGUCUAUGGUUUCUUAGACACGCGUGGAUUCUCACAGCCACCACCACAGACAGUACAAGCAACAGUUCCAAUACUCCAGAGAACGCCCUCAUCUCUCCUCACCCCUGCCUUCUGGCAAGCAAUGAGCUGUUCUCUGUUCCUGUAUUUUUGCCUUUUCUAGAAUGCCAUAUAAAUGGAAUUAUAUAGAAUGUGCCCUUUUGGUACUGGCCUCUUUUGUUCAAAAGAAUAAUACCUUUGAGAUUCAUCCAUGCUGUUGUUUGAAUCAAGCAUGUUAACUUUUAUUGCUGAGUAGUAGUCCAUUGUGUAGAUAUAUUACAGUUUUUUAAAAAUCUACCCCUGUCGAAGGACAUUUGGGUUGUUUUCAGUUCUUGGUGAGGAUGAACAUUUGUGUGCAGAUUUUGUGUGGACUUAAAAUCUUGACUUCUUUAAAAUACCUAGAAGUGGUCAUUGCUGGGUCCUAUGUAUGUGAGAUCUCAACUGUAAGUUUCCUCUCCUCUGACAACUGUGCCCCAUCCACAUGGUUCCUUUCUCUAACAUAUCACACUGACCACUGUGACCUCACUAAGACCUCCAAUUCACUGAGCCUGCCAUUUUUUUCAUUGAUCAUGAACCUAUUCAUUUUUUCUUUCCUUCUCACACAACUUAGUGAUCCAUCGUAAUAGUCAUCCUACUGGAAACUUUCCUCACUCCCUUAAACAUACCGUCCUGGCUGAACCACAACCUGGUAAACUCAACUACCCACCCAUUCAGUCUCCAUUAGAGUAGAACAGUGUGGCUAGAAGAAAACACAAUUGUGCCAUGGGCCAGUUCAUGACCAUAAAUCUCACCUGAGCUUCUGAUACUGAUCAUCGAUCAGUCUGACCUUCUAGUGACUAUUUCAUACUUGUAUCUCUUCAAACCUCUGACAGCCUCAUAUAUCACUGGGGAAAUAGCGAUCAGACUAGAGAUUGCUUAUUAUCCUCCCACCACCAAUUCCACCUGACGGACUAAGGCUUUACUCUCUUCUCUGCCUUCCCCCUUUUAAAACGAUGAACUGUCCAUGCUUCUGUCUGAAGCCAGCCCCUCGAUGGUGCAGUGGAUUCCAUCCGUGCCCAUCCCACCUUUUCAAUCAUUUUACUUCUGCAAUUAUCCCCCCCUUUCCUGUCUUCAUCAACUUUCUGCCAUCACCGUAUAUACGUUUCCUAAUGUAGCUCAUCUUCAAAAAUGAUGUCCCUCCUGGCUCCCCAAAACCAGUAACUUUACAGUGGAGAGACCUGACAAAACACCUCAGCCAGGUGAUCAAGGCAACGAGUCAUGACGGCGGAAUGUACCCUUGCUGUGAUGUGAGGAGGUGAUAAUGGCACUGUACCUCUUUGGUCUUCCUUUCCAAAACCCACAACCUCUGUCCAACCAGAAAAACACCAGACAAAUCCAAAUGGAAGGAUGUUCUACAAAAUACUUAACUAGCACUCCUCAGAAUUGUCAAGGCCGUCAAAAGUGGGGAAAACCUAAGAGAAGCCUAAGGAGACGUGACAAGUAAAUGUAAUGUGGUAUCCUGAAUAGGACCUUAGAACAGAAAAAGAAAGAUAUUAAGUAACACUAAAAACUGGAAUAAAGUACAGGCUUUAGAUAAUAAGGUACCAAUACUGGUUCAUUAAUUGUGACUUAUGUACCAUAGUAAUGUUAACAAUAGAGGAGGCCAGGCACGGUGGCUCACGUCUAUAUUCCUACCGCUUUGGGAGGCCGAGGCAGGAGGAUCACUUGAGCCCACGAGUUUGAGACCAGCCUGGGCAACAUAGGGAAACCCCGUCUCUAUUCUAAAAAUAAAAUAAAAUAAUAGAGGAAACUGAGUGCAGGGAACUCUUAUAAUGGUCUCACAGCCUUUCUGUAAACCUAAAACUAUUCUAAGAUAAAAGUCGAUUAAAUAUGAAACCACACACACACACACAUACACACACACACACAUAUACACUCCCACACACUCCCCUGACCCAUGUCAUCCUCUUGCUCCACUCCAUUUCCCUGCUUUCCUGCACAGGGAACCUUCCCAAACGAGUUGUAUAUUGCUACGGUCUCUGUUUCCCCACUCCAGCCAGCUCAUUCCUCAGUCUACUCCAAUCUGCUGUCCUUAGCUCCCCACCAAACCUGCUCUUGUUAAGGUUGAUGGUGAGCUCCAUGUUGGCAAAUCCGAGUCAAUUUUUUUCCCCUUCCCUUACCUUUCAGUCUAGUGUGUGUGUAAUGCAGUUCACUAUGCCCUACUUCCCGCAGCACCCUUAUCACUUGGCUUUUGAGAUACUAUACCCCUGGAUUUCUUUCUGCUCCUUGGGUGCUCCUGCUCAGUCUGGCUUCUACCAGUGGCCUAGGUUCUGUCUCCCGACCUCUGUUCUUUGCACUUCUAUCUCAGAGGCAUAUUUCAUCCCAGCUCAUGGAGUUAAGUACAAUUUACCUACUGCACAUACCCAAAUUUGUAUCUCCAGCUUUAAACCCUAUGAGGUAGGGACUGCUGUCACC
rnacentral:lncRNA from 1 species